GUUAUUGUAGCUUAAUCACUAAAGCACGGCGCUGAAAAUGCCGCGAUGGGCCGAUAAAAUCCCCAAAAACA
rnacentral:tRNA from 1 species